AUGAUUGGGUUGUUUGCCAAAUCCAAAAAUUAAAUCACGGAUCCUAAAAUUUGCGGAAGAGAUAUAUACCUUCUCUCCUUCCUUAUCUCAACAACUCCCCUAUAUCUCUCACAUGUCAACGAUCAGUCUGGUGGAAGCAACCCACAAGGUAGCAGCGAUUGCGGCGGCGGUGAGGCAGCGGAAGGUCAAGCAGGAGCUGGCGGCUGAAAAUAUCCAU
rnacentral:lncRNA from 1 species